rnacentral:tRNA from 1 species
CGGGAAGUAGCGCAGCUUGGUAGCGCGCAGCGUUCGGGACGCUGAGGCCGCGGGUUCAAGUCCCGCCUUCCCGA